rnacentral:rRNA from 1 species
AUUGAACGCUAGCGGGAUGCUUUACACAUGCAAGUCGAACGGCAGCACGAAAAGAGCUUGCUCUUUUUGGUGGCGAGUGGCGAACGGGUGAGUAAUGUAUCGGAACGUACCCAGUAGCGGGGGAUAACUACGCGAAAGCGUGGCUAAUACCGCAUACGCCCUACGGGGGAAAGGGGGGGAUCGCAAGACCUCUCACUAUUGGAGCGGCCGAUAUCGGAUUAGCUAGUUGGUGGGGUAAAGGCUCACCAAGGCAACGAUCCGUAGCUGGUUUGAGAGGACGACCAGCCACACUGGGACUGAGACACGGCCCAGACUCCUACGGGAGGCAGCAGUGGGGAAUUUUGGACAAUGGGGGAAAACCUGAUCCAGCCAGCCCGCGUGUGCGAUGAAGGCCUUCGGGUUGUAAAGCACUUUUGGCAGGGAAGAAACGGCGCUGACUAAUACUUGGCGCAACUGACGGUACCUGCAGAAUAAGCACCGGCUAACUACGUG